GUUCAUUUGUCAAGUAAUCUGGCUGGCCAGGGCUCAUUAUACAGAGACGAAAAUGGGUGAAAUUGGGGCAGUUAUGCACUAUUGUUGCAACAGCAGCAUUAGUCAUUUGCCAGCAGAAAUAGAGAACAUAUUGAAGCUUAGGACAACCAGCAGACACAGCUAUAAAGCCUGACUCCGUCACUCCAUGGUCCAUAUCCUCUUCAAAAGGGUCAGCAGGAAAGACUCGCAGUUCUUCAAGCAAUGGGCAGCUGGUUCCAACAGCCUCUAACCCCUUAUCAUUGACAGUGUCUAAGACCCAAAGGCGCCUUAAAUUUGGGCAAUGAAGAAGAAGCUUCGAAAGUUCACCACUCCUAAUGGUUUCAUAGCUCAAGUUGAGGAAAGUCAGACUAGCACAGGCUGCAUAAAGAGAUGGUAAAUAUCGACGAUUUGCUUCCCAGAAACCUGAAAGAGAGUGCAGAUGUUUGCAGUUGCUGAAUGCACUUUCAAGUUCUUCAUACUGCCGACUUGUGAGUUGAUCUGGAAGAAAGCAUCCUGUACCCAGCUCCAUCAGCUGAGGUGCCCGGACGAGCAGGCGUUGUAACUGAGGCAAGGUGACGUUCUUGUUCACCUUCAGAACCCUCAGUGAUUUGCAUCUACCGACAAGUCUCUCU
rnacentral:misc_RNA from 1 species